GUCCACGCUGUAAACGAUGGAUACUAGGUGUGGGAGGUAUCGACCCCUUCCGUGCCGCAGUUAACGCAAUAAGUAUCCCGCCUGGGGAGUACGGCCGCAAGGUUGAAACUCAAAGGAAUUGACGGGGCCCGCACAAGCAGCGGAGCAUGUGGUUUAAUUCGAAGCAACGCGAAGAACCUUACCAGAACUUGACAUCGUCUGAAUUACUCUUAAUCGAGGAAGCCUUUCGGGGCAGAUAGACAGGUGGUGCAUGGUUGUCGU
rnacentral:rRNA from 1 species